rnacentral:lncRNA from 1 species
AGAACUCCUGGCCUGAAACAAUCCUCCAAUCUCAACCUCCCAAAGUGCUGGGAUUACAGGUGUGUGUCACCACACCCAGCCUCUUCUGGGAUUUAAACCAAUGCAGCACGGCUCCAGAAACUCCUCUGAAUCACCUUGCUAACUUUUAGACAUCACUGUUCUGGUUAACCUAUUCAUUUUAUUUUUUAAAAUAUUUAUUUUAUUUUUAGUGGAGACAGGGUCUCACUAUUUUGCCCAGGCUGGUCUCAAAUUCUUGGGCUCAAGCGAUCUGCCUGCCGAGGCCUCCCAAAGUACUGGAAUUACAGGUGCGAGCCACCUAUUCAUUUUCAAGGCAGUAUAUGAGGAAAAAAAGGAAUGGGGAAUUAGACUCCUGAUUUGACAUGCACAAAAAAAGUUAGAAUCAGUGACUUGCCCCAGAUUCAAGUGUCCCAAAAGCAACAGAAAGCCUGGGUGACAGAGCAAGACUCUGUCUCGAAAAAGAAAAAGAAAACAGACAACUCAACCUUGAUGGCUUCCAUCUAUGGAGCACUUAGUGUAUGCAAGGUAUUGCACCAAAUAUUUUAAAUGUACCUCAUUUAUCCUUCAGGAUAACCUUAAAGGUACAUAAUAUUAUUGGCUCCAUUUGAAACAGAGGCUCAGAGACUAUCUAGUCCUUUAUAUUUGGCUGAUAGUUUGGGUAUAAAAUUUGGAGUUAGGCUUUCUUUCCUUAAGAAUAUUGUAGUCAGUGUUCAUUCUCUUUUGUAAAAGAUUUAUUUUUUUAGACAAGAUCUUGCUCUGUUGUCUAAGCUGGAGUGCAGUGGCGUGAUCAUAGCUCAUUGGAGCCUUGACCUCCCAGGCUCAAGCAGUCCUCUCAUCUCAGCUUCCUGAGUAGCUGGGACUACAGGCACGUGCCACCAUGCCCAGUUAAUUUUUGUAUUUUUUUGUGGAGACAGAGUUUUGCCAUGUUGCCCAGUCUGGUCUCAAACUCCUAAGUUCAAGUGAUCCACUUGCUUCAGCUUCCUAAAGUGCUGGGAUUACAGGCAUGAGCCACCAUAUCCAGCCCAGACUUUUUUUCUUGUCAUUAUUUCCCAAACAAUACAGUAUAACAACUAUUUCCAUAGCAUUUACAUUGUAUCAUAGGUAAGAUAGAGAUGAUUUAAGUUACUCUUGAGAGGAUGUGUGUAGGUCAUAUGCAGACACUAUACCAUUUUAUAUGAGGGACUUUUGAGCAUCUUUGGGUUUUGGUGUCUUUGGCGGUCCUGGAACCAGUGUCCCCCAUGGAUACCAACUGUCCAUAAGCAAAGUAGAGGUUUAUUUGUUUGAUUAUAGUGGUGAGAAAUGAAUGAAUUUCUUUCUCUGUCCUUUACAGGAAGAAGUUCUAAAGGAUUUUGAAGACUUGGCUGGAAAACUCCCAUGGUCAAACCCCUUAAAAGUGUGGAAAAUUAAUGCCAGUUUUAAAAAGAAAAAAGCAAAGCGCAAAAAGAUAAAUCAGAAUUCAAGUAAAGAGAAGAUUAAUAAUGGACAA